AGUGAACGCUGGCGGUAGGCCUAACGCAUGCAAGUCGAGCGGCAGCACAGUAAGAGCUUGCUCUUACGGGUGGCGAGUGGCGGACGGGUGAGGAAUACAUCGGAAUCUACUUUUUCGUGGGGGAUAACGUAGGGAAACUUACGCUAAUACCGCAUACGACCUACGGGUGAAAGCAGGGGAUCUUCGGACCUUGCGCGAUUGAAUGAGCCGAUGUCGGAUUAGCUAGUUGGCGGGGUAAAGGCCCACCAAGGCGACGAUCCGUAGCUGGUCUGAGAGGAUGAUCAGCCACACUGGAACUGAGACACGGUCCAGACUCCUACGGGAGGCAGCAGUGUGGAAUAUUGGACAAUGGGCGCAAGCCUGAUCCAGCCAUACCGCGUGGGUGAAGAAGGCCUUCGGGUUGUAAAGCCCUUUUGUUGGGAAAGAAAAGCAGCAGGUUAAUACCCCGCUGUUCUGACGGUACCCAAAGAAUAAGCACCGGCUAACUUCGUG
rnacentral:rRNA from 1 species